rnacentral:rRNA from 1 species
GGUAUCGUACAAGGUGUCCGUAACUCUGCACCUGGAACCGUGAACACUGGGCUUGCUCUGUGGGAUCAGUGGCGAACGGGUGAGUAACACGUGAGCAACCUGCCCCUGACUCUGGGAUAAGCGCUGGAAACGGCGUCUAAUACUGGAUAUGUGACGUGACCGCAUGGUCUGCGUUUGGAAAGAUUUUUCGGUUGGGGAUGGGCUCGCGGCCUAUCAGCUUGUUGGUGAGGUAAUGGCUCACCAAGGCGUCGACGGGUAGCCGGCCUGAGAGGGUGACCGGCCACACUGGGACUGAGACACGGCCCAGACUCCUACGGGAGGCAGCAGUGGGGAAUAUUGCACAAUGGGCGCAAGCCUGAUGCAGCAACGCCGCGUGAGGGAUGACGGCCUUCGGGUUGUAAACCUCUUUUAGCAGGGAAGAAGCGAAAGUGACGGUACCUGCAGAAAAAGCGCCGGCUAACUACGUGCCAGCAGCCGCGGUAAUACGUAGGGCGCAAGCGUUAUCCGGAAUUAUUGGGCGUAAAGAGCUCGUAGGCGGUUUGUCGCGUCUGCUGUGAAAUCCCGAGGCUCAACCUCGGGCCUGCAGUGGGUACGGGCAGACUAGAGUGCGGUAGGGGAGAUUGGAAUUCCUGGUGUAGCGGUGGAAUGCGCAGAUAUCAGAAGGAACACCGAUGGCGAAGGCAGAUCUCUGGGCCGUAACUGA